AUGAUUAAAAACAUUAGCAGGACAAUGAACUACUGCGAACACGUCAAGGUUCUCGGUCUCGUUGGUGACGGCCACGCCAUUGCCCAGAAUAUAAGCUGAGCCCUUAGUCAAAUUGAACUACUGAGAACUGUUCUAAAUCUCUGCAUAUGGCGACACCUAAAUCACAGGAAACUUGGAAAAUGAGCAUCAGUUGAGCUUCGAAGAGAUCAAAAUUCGAGCUUUG
rnacentral:lncRNA from 1 species